AUGGACCACGCGUCCACUGCGGUUCUGAGCGCGCCGUCCGCACGCACCUGACGACUGUGCAGUCGUUUUGUUAGCC
rnacentral:sRNA from 1 species